CUCCCCUGCCUCUUUGCCUCCCGGACCGAGAAUCUGCUCUUUAAAGUUGAUCUGAAGGGGAAAGCAGAGACGAGCUUGUGCAUAGUUUGGAGGAAUGUGAAGAACUGCAGCAUUUUCUUGCAAUGGACCUUCUGAUUCCAGGAGAUGGUGCUGUGGCCCAUGUGGGGUUUUGAGGCAAAUCAUAUGGAUUGCAUUGGGUUCUGAUCACGGUACCUGAAACAGGCGAAUUCUUAAGAUCCAGAUACUUUUCUGCAGAAGGUCCUAUUUGAACGUUGGUCAUUAUUAAACCACUUGUCCUUCGACUUGCAUAGCCUGUUAGUUGCAAACCAUAUAUGCUUACCUUAUCAUGAGGAAGUUUGCAAAUAUUUGGGAUUUCAGUGCCGUAUGCGAGAACCACGUGCUGAGAUUUAGGCAGGGGGUUGAAGGUGCACGAGACGCAAGCAUUUGACUAGAUGAAAGGCCUACAGUUGGCACAUCAGCAAUGGCAGCAUACAGCUGCACAGAUUUAAAACUACACAGGAAGAUAACUGUGACCUGGCCGCAUACCUUCCUCUGCCACGUCUGGGGGAAGGAGAGACCCACUGCGGUUAGCCUGCAUCGGUAGGGGAAAGCUACAGGUAGUCAUCUUUCCCUCUCUAUUCUGUGAAAUACAAAGCCACAGUCCUAACCGGUGGUAGCUAAUACUUGCAAAGAAACCUAAGCGUACGCCUCUGCUAAUGCUGUACAUACAGCUUUGGAAAAGAUUUUAAUGAAGAUGUGAAGCUGCUAAACCAAGGAAGGGGUGGAUUAACACUGGGAAGAGACCGAUGUAGUUGUAACUAUAUAUGCUGUAUACAACAUUUUUAUUGGGUUUUGAAGGGCCAAAGCAGUGAGAUAAUCCUUUAUCUAGGCCUUUGCAGCUAAUGAUGCAAGUGGCUUCUGGUAUGCAGCUUCUUACAGGAUGCUCUUCACAGAUGCCAUUCAUUCUGCGACUGCACCCCAGGCCUUGGGUGCUCCUGAAAUUUUCCUUGGUCGGGCUAUAUCUUCUCACUUUCUCCUUGUAUCACUCCCAGGGGAUAGUGACCUCCCUUUGAAGAUACUGUCCUCCUGCUCAAAAUCCUGCAUGGAACCAAGAAACUAGCUGUUUAAAUGAAGCCAUGAAAUGUCUGAAGGUACUUUCUGGAAUCCCUUAAAAUGACCCUGGUUCAAGAAAUAUGCCCUACUUACUGCCAGGAGUACAGUAAAGUCAAUCACUGGAAAUCUAUUAGUUGUGGGCAAUUGCAAGCACGUUACCCAACAUUAACCCACAAAAAGGAAAAUUAACACAGUUAAGAGUAGUUCUUGCCAGAGAAAGAUGAACAAAUAGGAGCAGAAGCUGAGUGGGAAGCUUCUAGCAGCAGGAGGGGGGGACUGUAAAGAUCAUCUGUUCAGACGUGCUUUUUUACUUCUCCCCCCGCAACUCCCCAGGUAUCUCCCUCUCUCUCUCUCAUUUUUUUAAAGACACAGAUGCAAAUAUACCUAAUAGCUACUGUGAAAUCUGUAAUAAGGAUCAACUAGCCAGGAGGCAGUUUUCAAGGACCACUGUGAUUGAGGGUAAUGUUUUUACAAUGAGGUCAUGUCCAAAGGCAGCCUCAGCUGAUGGCAAGCUUGUACUUGAGCACUGAAUAAGCACCUUGUCUUGCGUGGUCCCUGCUCCAAAGAGCCUGCAAUCUAAUAAAUCUGGCACACACGUAAAGGGCUGAAUUUUUAAAAUUGCCCAUUUUAUAGGUUUUUGGGUUUGGUUUUUUUGAUUUGUGUAAAGUCAUUGAGCUCUUCCUUCUUUAUCUCCCUCUAUUUACUCAUCUCUUCUCUGCCUUAGUACUCCAGCAAGCCAGUUUUGUGCAAAGUGUUUUUCGUUACUUCACAGGACUAUUAUCAAGUCCUGUGAAGACAGCCACGAGAUUGACAGAAGGGAAGCAGCAGACAGGGCAGAGGGUGAUUUCUGGUAGGCCUGCAAAGAGAGCAGGAAAGAUGGGCAAGGCAGUUCUGUCUGCUUGCUCCUACCUUCUUCUUUAUUUACAGUUUUCUGAUGCUAUUUCUCUUUUCCUCAGAAAUGCCCAUCUCUGUGAUAGUCAGCUGCAUCUGUGCUCUGCGAUAACGCUGCUGUUCAAACGGUGGGGUGGAAUGGAGCAUGUAGGUGAGAGAAAAAUAUCCAAAGUCAAACAAACUCAAGCAGGAUUUGGCCAGAACGUUUUGCUUCAAGACUUCCAAGCCAAAAAUCUCAGAAAAAAUGUCUCGCCUUGUUGUGCUAUGUUCAUAGUCAUGGCAAACCACGUAGUGUCUUACGUGGCAUUUCGGGACCUUCGAAGCAAUGACCCCUGUUUCCAAAUACACGUAGACUGUUCAAGUCUUUGCAGGCUUGUCAUGACAGCUUGAAUGACACCAGUUAGUUUAUACAAAUUAAACUGUGAAAUAGCUCAUGGUUCAUUCUGGUAUGGUAAGGUGGUCCUUUGCACUAUGUCACCAUUUGAGGGUGACUCUUCUUCACUGAGUUUAAUAGCCCAUCUCCUUUUGCUAAACCCCAAAGUCAGUAUUUUUUAAAGUAAUGAUAUUAAAAGUAAAGUAUUUAUUUUAAGUUUUUAUUUCUGUAAAGUAUAGAAAUUCUUGUUUGAGCAUCCUUUCUUUUAUCUGUUUGAAAAUACUUUUUGUUAAAAGAAACUAAAUGUUCUUAGUAUUUUAUUCUGCUGUGAAAAGUCUCUCUCUUAACAAAAAAAAAAGAGGAGGAAAGAAAGAGUCAUUCACUUACUAAAACAACUUGCCAGGGGUAUUUAGAGAUACCCUUUGUUUACCAUGAGGGAGUAUUGUUUUGGAUGGUUGGUGUUUUUUCUUCAUUUUCUGCUGCCCAUUAAAUGUAGUGGAAAAGAAACAAAACCCAGCUGGUGAUCAGGGAAAGUGGUUUACUGGUGUGGUGGUUUUUUGGGUUUUUUUGUUUGUUUGUUUGUUUGUUUGUUUUUUGUUGGGUUUUUGUUGGAGGUUUUGGGGUAUCAUGCAGGGGAAUUUACCAAAGAUAAUGGGCUUGGGUAAGUGUUACUGAGGAGGACACUGUGAAGGCUAUAGUAGUACAAGUUUAUUAGAGAGUUUUGUUUGACCAGUGGAGCUUUGUGCUACCGGUUGUGGUGCUAGGUAAAAUGGGGAGGGGUUUCAGUAUGGCUCUUGGAACACAAGUUGAAUUUGCUUCCGUACAAUAAAGACUUCUACACAGAUUUAUUGAGAAUGGAAAUCCAGGAAAAGAUUCCAAACAGGGAAUGCCGUGACUUUGUUUUACAGCUUCCUUCACCGUCUUUCUGGUGUUUCAUGUUUGAUUCUUUUUCGUUUUUCCCUUCUAAAAUGAUCCUCCAAAUUCUGUUGCAGGACACUGUGUGCUUUCCUCCUCUUCAAUUGUUUAUGCUUAAUUUAGAAAACCUAAAUAAGUGCUAUGAUAAUGUAUAAGCUAAUGAUUUUCCUUAACCAUUUUCUUCCAUCCUCCAGAUGUCUCUGGAGUACCACAUGGUACAGAAAGUUCAUUUGAAAUGAGUGCUGUGCUGGACUCUGUAAACUCCAUAACUACUUGGAUGUCAGUUGGAGGAAAAAUCAUGUCAGGUCAUCACUGGAAACUGCUGGCACAGCUCUGCUUUUCAGUAACUUUUAGUUCUCUAACCUUUCUCAUUUUAUUAGAAAACAGUAAGAGACAUUAAGUGACUCCUCAUCUACCUUAUAUCCUUGCAUAAAAGGACAUGCACCAUGCUGGUGGUGUUAGAAGUGCUGUUGAACUGUACAGCUGUGGUACUGAGGGUUAUUCGAGAUGGAAUUUGUCUGGAGCAUGGCAUUUGUAAAACUCCAAAAGUUAUUACUAAAGUCCUGCAUAAGUUUUUGAUAUUUGUAAUGAUAUGCCUACACAGUAUUAAUACCAGGUUAGGCUUGUGGGUUUUUUUCUGGAUUUUGUUGUUUGGGUUUUUUUGUUUUGUUUUUUUUGUAAGUAGGUUUUGUUCUUUAACUGUCAAGUUUUGUCUCACAAAGCUCCACUUAUUUAAAUGAUGGCCAGACAUGAUGGGUCUUAUGCUAUCAUCAUGACCAGCCGCUCAGCUGAGGUCAGAAGCUAUGAAAUUCUUCAGCUCUUUCAUCAGCUCAGCGAGACUGGUAAAAGCAGAUAUUCUCUCUCACAAUUUGCUAAUCACUGAAGAGCACAAAGACAACAAGGCAAUGCUGAACAAACCCAAACGUCUCUUUGUGCUGCCUACAUGUUGUUGUAGUUGUACCAAUCUUUGUUCAUUUUGCUUGCUUCUGCUUUUUUGUCCUAGUAAAAACUCUUCUCCUUCCCUGUCCUCUUUCUAAAUCUACCCUGCUCUGCUCAGAACUUGCUUUCUAGAGCAUGAAUGAUCACCUUCUUGUCAGAUCUGGGACUUGGUAAGGAGUGGGGUUAGGGACUGAAGAAGGAAAAAGGUGAGUUUUAGUGUCAUCUCUGUCUCAUUCUGCAGACUGAAUUCUGCUACUUCUUAUACUGGUUUGUUGCAUUUGGGCAUUUGUAUUUUAAAAUAACUUAAACUUAGGAGUUUGUUUGUCAGGUAGCAGAAGAUGAAAAGCACCUACUCCAAAAAAGCUAGCUGAAUUAUCCAGGCGGAGCAGAUGAUACUUAGUAAGAGUUCAAGGAUGUACCGAAAGAAUGGGGGAAAUGGUUACAAGAGUGGAGUGAGAUAUAUAUGUAGUAAUAAUAAAAAUAAUUUGUUAUACUUGCUAAGUCUGAAGCCUGUCUGUGGAAGGUUGCCCUUUUUUCUCUUACCCAGAAUUCUUCAGCUUGACUAUUGGUAUUGGUUAACUGCAGGCCAGAACUUCUCUACCUGCCAGAAGAGAUACUUUUAGUUGCAGGAAUCUGUAGAAUUUUCUUUUUUCUUUUUCUUUUUUAAGAAGAUGACUUCUACCAGCCUACCAGAACUGACUUAAAAUUGGUAAUUUUAGAUAAUACAUUAAUAUUUAGCUUUGUUUUCCAAAUCUGAAUUAUUGAGUGCAAUACUUUGAAUUUGACCACAGGUAGGAAUAGAAUUUUAUUUCUGGAAUCAAUGUUGUUGUCCUUGCUGACAUGGCACAGAAUAUGGUACAUGACAUUAAGCCACAUCCUUAUAUAGGGAAAAUUGUUGAAGUUAGAGGUAGUGCAUUGGCCAUACUACAAUUGGGCUCUGCUUAACUACUCUAGGGCAACAAAUUGAUGCUGCUUGGGAAAGGGAGAUUGGGGUGAACAUUCAUCCACUGUUCUCACUCUUGCUUGAGCUGGUGAGGGGCCUACUAUGAAUAUCCUGAUUUGGUAUUUAAGGUGAUUGAAUUGAAUCUGGCAUGACACUCUAAGCAACAGUUAUUGGAAGAAAUAUUCACUUUUGAAUACAGUGUGUAAUAAAUUUUUUAAAUGUUUGCUGAACAUGUUUUUUCUGUAAUAAACUUCUAUGGCAUUUGAA